rnacentral:rRNA from 1 species
ACGGGCUUGGCGGAAUCAGCGGGGAAAGASGACCCUGUUGAGCUUGACUCUAGUUUGACUUUGUGAAGAGACAUGAGANGGUGUAGCAUAGGUGGGAGCCGUCAAAAAGCGACCUUGAAAUACCACUACUUUUAUCGUUUCUUUACUUAUUCAGUCGAGCGGAGAGCGGGGCGCAAGCCCCUCGCUUCUGGAAUUAAGCCCGUGCGGGCGUCUCGCCGACGUCCGCGGGCGAUCCGCUCUGAAGACCGUGUCAGGCGGGGAGUUUGACUGGGGCGGUACAUCUGUCAAAAGGUAACGCAGGUGUCCUAAGGCGAGCUCAGCGAGGACGGAAACCUCGCGUAGAGCAAAAGGGCAAAAGCUCGCUUGAUUUUGAUUUUCAGUACGAAUACAGACCGUGAAAGCGUGGCCUAUCGAUCCUUUUGACUUUCGGAGUGUGAAGCAAGAGGUGUCAGAAAAGUUACCACAGGGAUA